rnacentral:rRNA from 1 species
GGCCAGACUCCUACGGGAGGCAGCAGUGGGGAAUAUUGCACAAUGGGGGGAGCCCUGAUGCAGCGACGCCGCGUGGGCGAUGGAGUGCUUCGGCAUGUAAAGCCCUAUCAGCAGGGAAGAAAAUGACGGCACCUGACUAAGAAGCCCCGGCUAAAUACGCGCCAGCAGCCGCGGUAAUACGUAUGGGGCAAGCGUUAUCCGGAUUUACUGGGUGUAAGGGGAGCGUAGACGGCAGUGCAAGUCUGGAGUGAAAGGCGGGGGCUCAACCCCCGGACUGCUCUGGAAACUGUACGGCUGGAGUGCAGGAGAGGUAAGUGGAAUUCCUAGUGUAGCGGUGAAAUGCGUAGAUAUUAGGAGGAACACCAGUGGCGAAGGCGGCUUACUGGACUGUAACUGACGUUGAGGCUCGAAAGCGUGGGGAGCAAACAGGAUUAGAUACCCUUGUA